UACGUAGGUGGCGAGCGUUGUCCGGAUUUACUGGGCGUAAAGCGCGCGCAGGCGGCAGUCUAAGUCCUCUGUGAAAUCACCCGGCUCAACUGGGUGGCUGCGGAGGAGACUGGGCAGCUUGAGGGGCCUAGAGGCCGGUGGAACUCCCGGUGUAGUGGUGAAAUGCGUAGAGAUCGGGAAGAACACCAGUGGCGAAGGCGGCCGGCUGGGGGCGCCCUGACACUGAGGAGCGAAAGCGUGGGGAGCGAACAGG
rnacentral:rRNA from 1 species